AAACGCCACCUGGCAAUAGACUUGAGUGUUGUGAAAUGAAACCUAUGUAAAUUUUGAAAUCGCCAAUGACAGGCCAUUAGAAUACAGUAAAUGCUCACAGAUUAAGACUCAUGGUCUUUAAUGAGACAAUGGACAUAUACUGAUUAUAGACAGACGGCAUGCAUAUAGGUCAUCUGUGUCAUCAUCUGCGCCAGAGCGAAUGACAUGAUGGAGCCUUGGAGUUGGAAGGGACGAAGUAAAUUUAAUAUGUUGCAAGAGUACUCGCAAUUGAACACAGUACGUUGACUGUGGCACACCUUUGCAAUCUGGAGUGGAAAUGGUGGCUGAACUGAAAGUUGACUUCAUGAUCAAAGAGAUUUCAUUUAUAUUUAUCCGGACUAUAGGUCACAACUUGACGGACUGAAUUUCUGAACGUGCACAUUCAUGUUGUAUAGCGAUACCCUUAUGUCAAGGUGUACAUCUCCUAUUGAAUUGUGUUUUUUGUCUAAUUUCGCCAUCCAUACAUGUUGUUGUUAAUUGCAGUGUAUAAAAUUAAAACAAUAAAAUAGGUAUUGUUGUAUGCAUACCCACAUUAUAUCAGGUCAUUUAUAUACUAGUGUAUUAAAACAUUUCAACGCA